ensembl:misc_RNA Metazoa_SRP Metazoan signal recognition particle RNA
GCUGGGUGUGGUGGUGCACACCUGUAAUCUCGGCUACUUGGGAGGCUGAGGCAGGGGAAUUGCUUGAACUUGGGAGGCUGAGAUUACAGGGAGCCGAGAUCGUGCCACUGUACUCCAGCCUGGGCGACAGAGCAAGACUCUGUCUCAA